UGACCGCUGGCGGCAGGCCUAACACAUGCACAUCGAACGGUAACAGGAAGCAGCUUGCUGCUUCGCUGACGAGUGGCGGACGGGUGAGUAAUGUCUGGGAAGCUGCCUGAUGGAGGGGGAUAACUACUGGAAACGGUAGCUAAUACCGCAUAAUGUCGCAAGACCAAAGAGGGGGACCUUCGGGCCUCUUGCCAUCGGAUGUGCCCAGAUGGGAUUAGCUUGUUGGUGGGGUAACGGCUCACCAAGGCGACGAUCCCUAGCUGGUCUGAGAGGAUGACCAGCCACACUGGAACUGAGACACGGUCCAGACUCCUACGGGAGGCAGCAGUGGGGAAUAUUGCACAAUGGGCGCAAGCCUGAUGCAGCCAUGCCGCGUGUAUGAAGAAGGCCUUCGGGUUGUAAAGUACUUUCAGCGGGGAGGAAGGGAGUAAAGUUAAUACCUUUGCUCAUUGACGUUACCCGCAGAAGAAGCACCGGCUAACUCCGUG
rnacentral:rRNA from 1 species